UUCUCAAGGGCAAAGGGCUCUUCUUUGUGAAUUCAACUGAUCAGGCCUACAGGCUAAAGCUAUUCUUUGAGCAGUUUCACAUUCGGAGUGUUGUCCUCAAUGGGGAGCUA
rnacentral:ribozyme from 1 species